GUCUACAGCCUUGCCACCCUGAACAAGCUCCCAUCUGAUCUUGGAAGCUAAGCAGGGUUGGGCUUGGUUAGUAAUUGGAUGGGAGACCACCUAGGAAGACCAGGUGCUGUAGGUG
rnacentral:rRNA from 1 species